rnacentral:lncRNA from 1 species
GUGAGGUUCAGGGCAUCCCUUUGUGUCUCUUGUUCUAGGACCUGCAGCAACACAGGGCAAGCUCUCCGUGGUUAAUAGAAGUAGGGCAAGAGGCCACACUGAAGCACACAGCCCAUUCCAAGUCACUGGCAAGACAAAGCCUAAAAAGUGUCUUUGUGUAUCCAUCAGCCACAGGACACCAAAUGGCAUAGCCCAAAGACAGUGACAGAGGGAAUUAAACUCUGACCCAGGGAAGCCAUGGCAAGAAUGAAU